rnacentral:rRNA from 1 species
UUUGCCUACGGGACGCAGCAGUGGGGAAUAUUGCACAAUGGGGGAAACCCUGAUGCAGCGACGCCGCGUGAAGGAAGAAGUAUUUCGGUAUGUAAACUUCUAUCAGCAGGGAAGAAAAUGACGGUACCUGACUAAGAAGCCCCGGCUAACUACGUGCCAGCAGCCGCGGUAAUACGUAGGGGGCAAGCGUUAUCCGGAUUUACUGGGUGUAAAGGGAGCGUAGACGGAAUUGCAAGUCUGAUGUGAAAAUCCGGGGCCCAACCCCGGAACUGCAUUGGAAACUGUAUUUCUAGAGUGUCGGAGAG